UACGUAGGGUGCGAGCGUUAAUCGGAAUUACUGGGCGUAAAGCGUGCGCAGGCGGCGCGUUAAGACAGGUGUGAAAGCCCCGAGCUUAACUUGGGAAUUGCGCUUGUGACUGGCGUGCUGGAGUGUGGCAGAGGGAGGUGGAAUUCCACGUGUAGCAGUGAAAUGCGUAGAGAUGUGGAGGAACACCAAUGGCGAAGGCAGCCCCCUGGGUCGAUACUGACGCUCAUGCACGAAAGCGUGGGUAGCAAACAGG
rnacentral:rRNA from 1 species